AUUGAACGCUGGCGGCAGGCUUAACACAUGCAAGUCGAACGAGUGGCGGACGGGUUAGUAAUGCUUGGGAAUCUAGCUUAUGGAGGGGGAUAACUACGGGAAACUGAUGCUAAUACCGCGUACCAUAGGCUGAGCCGAAGUGGGAUUAGGUCGUUGGUGGGGGAAAGGCUACCCAAGCCGAAUAUCUCUAGAUGGUCUGAGAGGAUGCACAGCCAUACUGGAACUGAGACACGGCCCAGACUCCUACGGGAGGCAGCAGUGGGGAAUAUUGCGCAAUGGGGGCAACCUGACGCAGCCAUGCCGCGUGAAUGAAGAAGGCCUUCGGGUUGUAAAGUUCUUUCGGUAGGGAGGCGUUAACUACAGAAGAAGCACCGGCUAACUCCGUGCCAGCAGCCGCGGUAAUUC
rnacentral:rRNA from 1 species